rnacentral:rRNA from 1 species
UGGUCCCUACGGGGGGCAGCAGUGGGGAAUAUUGCACAAUGGGGGAAACCCUGAUGCAGCGACGCCGCGUGAGUGAGGAAGUAUUUCGGUACGUAAAGCUCUAUCAGCAUGGAAGAAAAUGACGGUACCUGACUAAGAAGCCCCGGCUAACUACGUGCCAGCAGCCGCGGUAAUACGUAGGGGGCAAGCGUUAUCCGGAUUUACUGGGUGUAAAGGGAGCGUAGACGGCAGCGCAAGUCUGGAGUGAAAUCCCAUGGCUUAACCAUGGAACUGCUUUGGAAACUGUGCAGCUAGAGUGCAGGAGA